UAGAGGCAGGAGGAUCUCUGUGAGUUCGAGGCCAGCCUGGUCUACAGAGUGAGUUCCAGCACAGCCAUGAAUACACAGAGAAACCCUGUCUCAAAA
ensembl:miRNA Gm24756 predicted gene, 24756